rnacentral:rRNA from 1 species
CGUUUUGGGGUUGGAAAACCACUUUUGGUUGUAAAGCACUUUAAGCGAGGAGGAGGCUACUAGUAUUAAUACUACUGGAUAGUGGACGUUACUCGCAGAAUAAGCACCGGCUAACUCUGUGCCAGCAGCCGCGGUAAUACAGAGGGUGCGAGCGUUAAUCGGAUUUACUGGGCGUAAAGCGUGCGUAGGCGGCUGAUUAAGUCGGAUGUGAAAUCCCUGAGCUUAACUUAGGAAUUGCAUUCGAUACUGGUCAGCUAGAGUAUGGGAGAGGAUGGUAGAAUUCCAGGUGUAGCGGUGAAAUGCGUAGAGAUCUGGAGGAAUACCGAUGGCGAAGGCAGCCAUCUGGCCUAAUACUGACGCUGAGGUACGAAAGCAUGGGGAGCAAACAGGAUUAGAUACCCUGGUAGUCCAUGCCGUAAACGAUGUCUACUAGCCGUUGGGGCCUUUGAGGCUUUAGUGGCGCAGCUAACGCGAUAAGUAGACCGCCUGGGGAGUACGGUCGCAAGACUAAAACUCAAAUGAAUUGACGGGGGCCCCCACAAGCGGUGGAGCAUGUGGUUUAAUUCGAUGCAACGCGAAGAACCUUACCUGGUCUUGACAUAGUAAGAACUUUCCAGAGAUGGAUUGGUGCCUUCGGGAACUUACAUACAGGUGCUGCAUGGCUGUCGUCAGCUCGUGUCGUGAGAUGUUGGGUUAAGUCCCGCAACGAGCGCAACCCUUUUCCUUAUUUGCCAGCGGGUUAAGCCGGGAACUUUAAGGAUACUGCCAGUGACAAACUGGAGGAAGGCGGGGACGACGUCAAGUCAUCAUGGCCCUUACGACCAGGGCUACACACGUGCUACAAUGGUCGGUACAAAGGGUUGCUACCUAGCGAUAGGAUGCUAAUCUCAAAAAGCCGAUCGUAGUCCGGAUUGGAGUCUGCAACUCGACUCCAUGAAGUCGGAAUCGCUAGUAAUCGCGGAUCAGAAUGCCGCGGUGAAUACGUUCCCGGGCCUUGUACACACCGCCCGUCACACCAUGGGAGUUUGUUGCACCAGAAGUAGGUAGUCUAACCGCAAGGAGGACGCU